rnacentral:rRNA from 1 species
AUUGAACGCUGGCGGCAGGCCUAACACAUGCAAGUCGAGCGAGCGGCGGACGGGUGAGUAAUGUAUGGGGACUGCCCGAUAGAGGGGGAUCACUAACGGAAACGAUGACUACUACCGCAUACUUUCGCCUAACCCAUAUGGGAUUAGCUAGUAGGUGGGGUAAAGGCUCACCGAGGCGACGAUCUCUAGCUGGUCUGAGAGGAUGAUCAGCCACACUGGGACUGAGACACGGCCCAGACUCCUACGGAGGCAGCAGUGGGUAAGAUUGCACAAUGGGCGCAAGCCUGAUACAGCCAUGCCGCGUGUAUGAAGAAGGCCUUAGGGUUGUAAAGUACUUUCAGCGGGGAGGCGUUACCGGCAGAAUAAGCACCGGCUAACUCCGUGCCAGCAGCCGCGGUAAUAC